CAUUCGGCCUUUCGAGUCUGCACCGCCAUUCAAUAUGAUCAUGGCUGAUCAUCCAACUCAGUCUCAUGUACCUGCCUUCUCUCCAUACCCCCUGAUCCCUUUAGUCACAAGGGCCACAUCUAACUCACUCUUGAAUAUAGCCAAUGAACUGGCCUCAACUACAUGCUGUGGCAGAUAUUUCCACAGAUUCACCACUCUGUGUGUGAAAAAAAAUGUUUUUCUCAUCUCGGUCCUAAAAGAUUUCCCCCUUAUCCUUAAACUGUGUGGCCCCUUGUCCUGGACUUCCUCAACAUCGGGAACAAUCUUCCUGCAUCUAGCCUAUCCAACCCCUUAAUAUUUUUGUACGUUUCCAUAGGAUCCACUCUUCUAAUUUCUAACGAGUACAAGCCGAGUCUAUCCAGUCUUUCUUCUUAUGAAAGUCCUGACAUCCCAGGAAUCAGUCUGGUGAACCUUCUCUGUACUCCCUCUACGGCAAGAAUGUAUUUCCUCAGAUUAGGAGACCAAAACUGUACACAAUACAGAUGUGGUCUCAACAGAGGCCUAUACAGCUGCAGAAGAACCUCUUUACUCCUAUACUGAAAUCCUCUUGUUAUGAAGGCCAACAUUCCAUUAGCUUUCUUCACUGCCUGCUGUACCUGCACGCUAACUUUCAGUGGCCGGUGUACAAGUACACCCAGGUCUCGCUGCCCCUCCCUGUCUGUUUAACCUCCACCCAUCCAGCCCAUACACCCCCUCCCCCCUAUUUCUGUACCCCCCUUCCCUCAUUAUCUCCGUAACGACCUCCCUCCCCUCCAGCCCCUUCCUGUGACCGGUGUUUCUUGGAGAGGGUCCAGAUGAGAUUUACAAGAACGAUCCCAGGAAUGAGGGGGUUAACUAACGUACGAUGAACGUUUGUCGGCACUGGGCCUGUACUCGCUGGGGUUUAGAAGGAUGACGGGGCACCUCAUUGAAACGUACAGAAUAGUGAAAGGCCUGGAUAGAGUGGAUGUGGAGAGGAUAUUUCCACCAGUGGGAGAGUCUAGGACCUGAGGGCGCAGCCCCAGAAUUAAAGAUGAGGAUGAACCUCUUUAGCCAGAAUGUCGUUAAUCAGUGGAACUCAUUGCCACAGACGGCUGUGGAUAUUAUUAAGACAGAGAUAGAUAGAUUCUUGAUUAGUGCGGGUGUCAAGGGUUAUGUGGAGAAAGCAGGAAAAUAGGGUUAGGAGGGAGAGAUCAGCCAUGAUUGAAUGGCGGUGUAGACUUGAUGGGCUGAAUGGCCUAAAUCCACUCCUAUAACUUGUGAAUUUCUUUCUUCACAGGAUCUGAAUCUCGGUGACCGGGAUCUGUACAGCGAGAAGAAGCCCAGAUACAAACGAACCUCUGCUCAACCCCUCUGUGUCCACCCCCCCUCCCCUCUGCCCACUUUCUCUGAUGUUUCUUUCUGCCCAUAUCUCUCUUUCCUUACUCUCUAUAAUCACCCUCCCUCCCAUCGACUCCAUCUACACCUCACGCUGCCUCGGCAAGGCCAGCAGCCCAGACCAGGACCGGCCUUAGGAGGUGCGGGACCCAAUUGGGAACAAUUUUGAUGACUCUGGAUAUCUUGUGGAACAUGACAGAAUUAGCUGGUAGCUUCACAACAAAGAAUCCUCAGGGAAACCAUGUUUAAAUGACAGGAAUGUACAUUGAUCUUAUAAGUGAUAAAGUGAAAUUAGAAA